rnacentral:misc_RNA from 1 species
ACAAAAAGGGAACAAAAGCGUGGCGGGCGCAAGUCCGUUUCACGUUAAUCCCGAAAUCCUGUAUUCACCCCAAGUUCCUUAAAAAUUUUAAUAAAAACUACGCAAAAGACCACCUCUGAUUCGGUGGCAUCUAAUGCAAAAGCGA